GGAAGAUGUAAGUGAACUAUUGUAAGAAUAAUUUCAUCGCCGAAAAUGUUUGUAAUGAAGGCAUUAAAAUUUGCUAAAUGGCAUGAAUGGCGCAUGGAUAUUAUUUUGCGGCUAUUACGCCGUUGAAUUUGGUGGAUUCCAUCCUACUAAAGGUAAAUAUUUAAAAGCAUUGUCUUACUUCCUCUCGGUAUAAGUCUUGGAUUUGUAAGAAUACUUGAUUAUUUUAUUUUUACAUUGUAUGAAGAUAUGUAUUUUAUUAAAUUAUUUAAUGCAAGCUGAUGUUAUUAUUUGUCAUCGUGUCUCUCCGUACUUGCUAUGUAUCGUGUAAACCCCCAAACAUUAUACUCGAUCAGGGCCGUUGCAAUUUCAAUCGGGACCUCAUUUGAAUACGUAUUUAUAGAUUUUGUCAUGUCAAUUAAGGUCAUUUCAAGAUGGUUUCCUUCAUCGUGUUUUAGUUUAAAGUAAAAUCACAAAAAUACUGAACUUAGAGGAAAAUCUAAAGUUGACAUGGUUAAUUAAUUGCUUUACACACAAACCUGUAAACUCAUUCAUGUAAGACGAUACACCUGUACAAUGUGACCUUUCACUUGGAAAUAUAGUUUCGUAUACAAAAUUCCACUUCUUUCAGGUUUACACUUUCAGUAUUAAUGGUUACAAUUUAAAAAUGUUAGGUCUUGAUUAAUUUAAGUCAACAAGUUAAGAGUUAAACACAAAAAGUCGGAUACGAAAAUUUUUGAUAAUUUAAUCACAAAUAUUCAAAAUGGCGCAUCGUGGUUUUCUUGUACACACGUGAAUAACAUUAAACGAAAUCGAUCUUGGGAAGAUUUCACUAGGUUUUAUCUUGACUAUAAUGGUUUCACCAUUGAAGGGUUCAUCUUUUAUUGAUAUUCAGGAUUCAGGUACACUGUUAAAAUGCAAGGACACAAAUUUUACCAAAUCCGAAACGAAGCGGACAUUCGAUCAUUGGCUAACAAGGUUUUACCGAAGGACAUUUCAUACAUAUAUACUAAACUUACCAGUUUCACAAAAAAUGUUCGCACUUUCAGCUAUUGUUUUUUUUAGUUCUUU
rnacentral:lncRNA from 1 species